rnacentral:rRNA from 1 species
UACGAAGGGGGGCUAGCGUUGCUCGGAAUCACUGGGCGUAAAGCGCACGUAGGCGGAUUGUUAAGUCAGGGGUGAAAUCCUGGAGCUCAACUCCAGAACUGCCUUUGAUACUGGCGAUCUUGAGUCCGGGAGAGGUGAGUGGAACUGCGAGUGUAGAGGUGAAAUUCGUAGAUAUUCGCAAGAACACCAGUGGCGAAGGCGGACUCACUGGCCCGGUACUGACGCUG